GGUUGAAACACCGGUUCCCGCACGAUUACUGAAGUUAAGCAACGUUGAGCUUGGUUAGUGCAUACCUAAAUGAUUGACCGCUUGGGAAUAUCAAGUGCUGUAA